GACGAACGCUGGCGGCGUGCUUAACACAUGCAAGUCGAACGGAAAGGCCCUGCUUGCAGGGUACUCGAGUGGCGAACGGGUGAGUAACACCUGGGUGAUCUGCCCUACACUUCGGGAUAAGCCUGGAAAACUGGGUCUAAUACCGGACCGGAGCCAUUUUUAGUGUGAUGGUUGGAACGUUUUUUCGGUGUAGGAUUAGGUUGCGGCCUAUCAGCUUGUUGGUGGGGUAAUGGCCUACCAAGGCGGCGGCGGGGAGCCGGCCUGGGAGGGUGGACGGCAACAGUGGGACUGAGAUACGGACCAGACUCCGACGGGAAGGAGAAGUAGGGAAGAGUGAAAAAGGGGCGCAAGCCUGAUGCUGCGACGCCGCGUGGGGGAGGACGGUCUUCGGGUUGGAAAUGCAUUUCGCUAGUGACGAAGCUUUUAGUGACGGUACCUAGAUAAGAAGCACCGGCUAACUACGUG
rnacentral:rRNA from 1 species